rnacentral:rRNA from 1 species
GACGAACGCUGGCGGCGUGCUUAACACAUGCAAGUCGAGCGGUAAGGCCUCUUCGGGGGUACACGAGCGGCGAACGGGUGAGUAACACGUGAGUAAUCUGCCCUUCACUUGGGGAUAAGCUUCGGAAACGGGGUCUAAUACCUGAUACGACAAUCUUGCGCAUGCAAUGGUUGUGGAAAGUUUUUUCGGUGGGGGAUGUGCUCGCGGCCUAUCAGCUUGUUGGUGGGGUAAUGGCCUACCAAGGCUUCGACGGGUAGCCGGCCUGAGAGGGUGACCGGCCACACUGGGACUGAGACACGGCCCAGACUCCUACGGGAGGCAGCAGUGGGGAAUAUUGGACAAUGGGCGGAAGCCUGAUCCAGCAACGCCGCGUGAGGGAUGACGGCCUUCGGGUUGUAAACCUCUUUCAGUACCGACGAAGCGCCCGUUGUGGGUGGUGACGGUAGGUACAGAAGAAGCACCGGCCAACUACGUGCCAGCCGCCGCGGUAAAAC